rnacentral:rRNA from 1 species
GGAGGAAGCAGGGGAUCGCAAGACCUUGCGCUUUUGGAGCGGCCGAUGCCUGAUUAGCUUGUUGGUGAGGUAAAAGCUCACCAAGGCUUCGAUCAGUAGCUGGUCUGAGAGGACGACCAGCCACACUGGAACUGAGACACGGCCCAGACUCCUACGGGAGGCAGCAGUGGGGAAUUUUGGACAAUGGGGGCAACCCUGAUCCAGCCAUGCCGCGUGAGUGAAGAAGGCCUUCGGGUUGUAAAGCUCUUUCAGCCGGAACGAAACGGUUACGGUUAAUACCCGUGACUACUGACGGUACCGGAAGAAGAAGCACCAGCUAACUACGUGCCAGCAGCCGCGGUAAUACGUAGGGUGCGAGCGUUAAUCGGAAUUACUGGGCGUAAAGCGUGCGCAGGUGGUUUUGUAAGUCAGAUGUGAAAUCCCCGGGCUUAACCUGGGAACUGCGUUUGAAACUACAAAGCUAG